UGCUCUCAGGAGCACGGAGGCCUCCGUGCUCCUGAGCCGUUUUCGAUGAUGGAGUUUCCGAAUUAACGAUCGGCUCCGUUAAAUUUGAUUUAGCGUAUUUGAAGUUUCUAGAAAAUAAUUUUUGCGAAUUUUCGAUAUCAUUUACCUAGCAAUCGAAAUGAUUCAAAAUCAUUUAACGGCUGAAAAUAAAAAUCCAAUAAAAAGUGGUGAUAUAGCACUAAAAUUUUCGAUCAGAAAUAUUGAUUUUGUUGUAGAUAGUAUAAAGAAUUUUGUAUCAAAAUUUCAUCUGAUUUGAAUACUUCUACACCGUUAAACUUGAAAACGACAGAUAUCAACCAUUAAAAAUUAUAAAUUUUGAAUCCUUUCAAUCACUAGGUAAAUGAUAUAAAAAAAUCACAAAAAUUAUUUUCUAGAAACUUCCAAAUGCGCUAGAUCAAGUCUAACGGAGCCGAUCGUCGAUUUGAAAAUUCCACCAUCAAAAAC
rnacentral:lncRNA from 1 species